rnacentral:rRNA from 1 species
UACGAAGGGGACUAGCGUUGUUCGGAAUUACUGGGCGUAAAGCGCGCGUAGGCGGAUCGCUAAGUCAGGGGUGAAAUCCCAGGGCUCAACCCUGGAACUGCCUUUGAUACUGACGAUCUGGAGAUCGGGAGAGGUUGGUGGAAUUCCAGGUGUAGCGGUGAAAUGCGUAGAUAUCGGGAGGAACACCAGUGGCGAAGGCGGCUCUCUGGACCGGUUCUGGACGCUCAGGCGCGAAAGCGUGGGGAGCGAUCCGG